UGAGGAAUAUUGGUCAAUGGACGAGAGUAUGAACCAGCCAUGCCGCGUGAAGGAUGAAGGCGUUCUGCGUUGUAAACUUCUUUUGCGGGGGAAGAAACCUUGAUAUUCUUAUCAAGCCGACGGUACCCCGAGAAUAAGCACCGGCUAACUCCGUGCCAGCAGCCGCGGUAAUACGGAGGGUGCAAGCGUUAUCCGGAUUUACUGGGUUUAAAGGGUGCGUAGGUGGAUUUGUAAGUCAGUGGUGAAAUCUCCGAGCUUAACUCGGAAACUGCCAUUGAUACUAGAAGUCUUGAAUUAUCUGGAGGUAAGCGGAAUAUGUCAUGUAGCGGUGAAAUGCUGAGAUAUGACAUAGAACACCAAUUGCGAAGGUAGGUUACCAUGUCUUAACGGACGCUGAUGGACGAAAGCGUGGGGAGCGAACA
rnacentral:rRNA from 1 species